GCCCCUAUAGCGCAGAGGUAGCGCGUCGUUCUUAUAUGGGUCUUUGCACCAAUAUGACAGGUCAUCCUGGCAAUGCGAAUGUCGUGGGUUCGAUCCCCACUAGGGGCA